CCCCAAUGGGUUCUCCGGAUUUCUGGAGACUUGUAGGGGUUGUGGGAUUUUUGAUGUGUCGUCUCCGGACGGGCGGUGCAGGGUAGUCGAGUUAGACUUGGUGGAAUUCCGUCGAUAGGAGUUCCGUCGAGUCUGGUCGGCUGUGUGUUGGACGGUGCAGGGUAGGCUGCUUGGACAUGGUCGGUUCGAGGGAUCGAUUCGAGGGCCGGCCUGUCGAUGAUGUGUGAUGUAUGCGGUCUAGGGUAGGCUGGUUUGUCUUGGUUCAAUUUGAUGUCGGCUCCCGUGCAGGCCAGAGUGAGGGGGGUCCAGGGUAGGUACAGGGUAGGCAGCUUAGAUUUGGUCGAUCUGGAGGUCGAUUCUCCGGCUGGCGGAUCUGACACUGUCGAAACGAGAUGCGAGCGGUGUAGGGUAGGCUAGUUUCGUCGUCGCCAGGUUGCGAUUUGGACGAGAUAUGUAGUUUAGGGUAUGCUCUAGGGUAAGUAGAAUUCGAGUUUCGUCGCCGACAGUUUUCUGUGGGUGUAUGGUAGGUACAGGGUAGGCAAAUCUCUCUCCGGCCAGUACUUGUCUGGUGGUCGUGAGUCGAUUUUUUUGUUUUGCCAUACUAUUGAAUUUUGCGGAAAUUCAAAAGUGGCUCGGGAGUCCCGCCUGGCGUGCGUCCGACUCGAACAUCGUCGGUGCACAUAUGAGAGGGAGUAAUCCGGCCCGGCCGGGGCCCAUCGCGAGCUGCCGGGUAGGUAAAAGUAAAAAAGUUGUUAAGAGGCGCGGUGUCGGCGUGCUUGUAUUUGCGGGAGAGAAUUAUCUGGGGGUGCUGGGUAGCCGGGAAGACUUGGACGGAUCUGGCCCGGGAAUGGGUCUGGGCCUGGAUUCUGGUGUGGUGUAGGGUAGGCGUAGAUAGAUGAGUGGUCUAGGGUAGAUACAGGGUAGCCAGACGUCUGGUAUAUAGUAUGGGGGUGUAGGGUAGGUCUGGACACCGUUUUCCACUUCGCCCUUCCCUUUAGUCGAGGGAGGAUGAUCUUGACUGGGACGGAGGUGUAGGGUAGGCUUAAUUUACGAUUACAUGAUCUGUGUCACUCUAGGGUAGGUGAAAAUCUUAUAUAUAUCUGAUCACAUUUGGUGAAGAAGUGGUUUGGCUGGUGAGAUGGACAAAAGUGCAAUGUUGAAUUAUAUGUGAUUUUGCAAAAGUGGGUGUGAAAUUGGAAAGUCGGUUUUCCCGCACAGAUGAGAGCACGUUUGAGGUGCCAUGAGAUGCACCUCUCCGAGACGACCUCAACGGUACCACCCAUGUGUUGGUCGGGCUCCUGUGCGGCCGUCCAAGGCGGGAUAAGUAGAGAAUGUGGUGGUGUAGGGUAGGUGACCAGGUCCAGGGUAGGUUCGCCAAAUCCGUCAAUCCGGCUUGAAUCGAAGGACAGGUCUAGGGUAGGCCAGAGUCGGGUCUAGGGUAGGCAACCCUCACCCUCGAAGUGGUCUACCCGGUAGCCAACUUCAAUCGCCUCUCACGGCCGCCACGGACCUCGCAUGACGACGGGACUACCACCAUCGGAUUUGCCUUGGUCGAAAUAGCUGGUAUAUGCACUUUUGAAAAAAUGCGUGCAAAAUGGUUUUGUGGUUUGAUGGCCGUGAGUCGAUUUUUUUGUUUUCCCAUACAAAUGAAUUUUGCGGAAAAUAAAAAGUGGCCCACGAGGCAGUCCUGGCGUGCGGCCCACUAAAACGGUCUCGGAGGGUAUAUGAGAAGGGAGCAAAUCCGGCCGAGCCUGAAAGGGUGAGGACAAACCGGGCGAGCAACCUCUCAGUAUCAGAUCUUGCAGACUUCCACUGCGUGUCCCUCUGUACAGCUUUGCAGGCUCCGGCCUCGGCAGCGGGGGGUUCAUAGUGGUCGUCGACCUCCACGAAACUGCACGCUCCGGCGUGACAGCGUACUGGGGAUGCCUGUGUAGAUGCAGUCCGGGCUUGCCUGGACCGCUAGCAGAUGGGCUCUGUGGAUGACUGGCCGCUGGCUAGACCUGAAACCUGAGCAACGGGAGGUAACCUCUCGCCGCGGACACCGGAAUGGUAGAAGCGGCGUGCUGCGUCCUCCUCUUGGGGCCCCUAAGCCACACCU
rnacentral:misc_RNA from 1 species